rnacentral:rRNA from 1 species
AGCGUAGACGGACUGGCAAGUCUGAUGUGAAAGGCGGGGGCUCAACCCCUGGACUGCAUUGGAAACUGUUAGUCUUGAGUGCCGGAGAGGUAAGCGGAAUUCCUAGUGUAGCGGUGAAAUGCGUAGAUAUUAGGAGGAACACCAGUGGCGAAGGCGGCUCUCUGGACUGUAACUGACACUGAGGCACGAAAGCGUGGGGAGCAAACA